UACAUCACAUCCUGUCUCAACCCCGCUAGGUUAUCUGCCGCCACCGCCCGUCCUCGGCUCCACCAUGCCGCUGCCGCCGCCUGUCCCCGCCUCCACCGUGCCGCCGCAGCUGGUCCCCGCCUCCACCGCGCCGCCGCAACUGGCCCCUCCUCCACCCCACCACCGUCGGGGCCCUUGUCCACUGCGCCCCACCAGUCCUCUUCCAAUGGUGUGACCGCCACCGGGCAAUCCUCCCCUGCCCUAGUGCCACGGCUGCCAUUGCCAGCACCGCCGUCGGCUCCCGCCUACCCAUCUGCAGCCGCUGGUGGCCACCGAAGCCGGGCACCAUCUCCCCCUCUGCCCUCAGCCCCCUCUGCCCCACGCCACGGGAUUUUCUCUUCACCUCCAGGAGCACUGUCCGUCCCGUUGCCAUUGCCAUCGUCAUUCGACUACCUCCUCUAUGGUCUAGGGAUGAGUGAAGCAUGGUUGGCCCGCAAAGAAAAAAGCCCUCGCUCCCUCUAGCGAGAUCUUUGCUUGGCAGUUUUAUCGCUGAUCCUCUGCCUUCCUCUCAUCCUCAGGCUCAUCGAGGAAGAGGAAAAGGCCGGGGGAGAGGUGCACGUGGAGAAAAUGCUAAGAGAAACCCUAUUCGGCCUCCCUCGCCACCAUCUGCUGUGGCAUCGCCUGAGGAUGAGAGAGUGGAGGACGAGCCGGUGUCUCACUCCCCCGUGUUUGAGAGGGUGGAGGAUGAGCCGGUGUCUCACUCCCCCGUCUCUGGGAGGGUGGAGGAUGAGCCGGUGUCUCACUCCCCCGUGUCUGAGAGGGUGGAGAAAGAGCGGUUGUCAUCAGAGGCCUCUGACGAGGAGGUCCCGACCUCUGACAAGGAGACCUCGACCUCUAACGAGGAGCAUGUUGGUUUCAUCCAAGUUGAGGAGGGUCGGUCCGUGUACCUACGUGGUUCCUCAAGCCUCCCGGAACGAGGGCUUCCUGUGGAGCAGAGACCAUGUAUUGCUCCAUGUGGAUAAACUGGUUGGAAGAAAGCUGGAGCUAGCAGGGGAAAGUGCUGACACAUGAACGACGUCCUCGGGAGCCGCAUGAAGGAGCAUGACCCUGGCAUGGUUACUUUGCCUGGGAAGGGCAAUGUUCCGGAGCCAGCACGGACCUGGGACCACUACAAAGCCUAUGAGGAUAUUGGUGUAGCCAACAACAUCGAGUUUCACAAGAAAGCCAAGCGGGUUUUUGCCACACUUUGGAUGCGAGGAUGGAAAGUUGGAGGAGGCACGAGCGGUUGUCAAUGGACAUUGCCCGAAGCUUGUGCAUUAUUUGAUGCAUGAGGCGCGCCCUUUAGCCGUCCGCAAAUAUAUGGCAACUCAAGGCUAUAAGAGUCUUGAUAAGAAAGCCGGUUACUCCGAGAUGGUGCGUCGAUAAGGGGGAGUGUUGGGAGCGGAUCGUGGACUAUUGGUGUUCCAAAGAGUAUAGGGCGAAAAACAAAGAUUAUAGAAAUCGGCGAGGUGCAAUGCUGGAUCCACCACAUCAUCAAGGCAACUUGAACAUUAUGGAAUUUGGUGAACAUUGGGCAGGAAACAUGGCAAGGAAGCAAUUGCAGGAGGCAUGUUCCCCAGCUCCUCCCAUAGCUCUCUCCCUGAAUACAAAGCUCGGUUAGGUAUCUCAAAAUCUUCUACAUAUAAAUGCUCGACUCCAGCUAUGGUUGAGA